rnacentral:rRNA from 1 species
UACGUAGGAGGCGAGCGUUGUCCGGAAUUACUGGGCGUAAAGAGCGCGUAGGCGGCACUGUACGACCGCUGUGAAAGCCCCCGGCUCAACCUGGGGAGGGUCAGUGGUAACGGCAGAGCUGUGAGUGCAGGAGAGGGAAGUGGAACUCCGGGAGUAGCGGUGAAAUGCGGUAGAGACCCGGAGGAACACCAGUGGCGAAGGCGACUACUGGACACAUAUUGACGCUGAGGUGCGAAAGCGUGGGGAGCAAACAGG